rnacentral:tRNA from 1 species
CACCAGAUAGCUCAGAUGGUAGAGCACCUGACUACAAAGUCAGAGGGCCUGUGUUCAAUUCCCAAUCUGGUUU